rnacentral:sRNA from 1 species
UAUUCUGCCCUCCUGGUAUUGAUGACAAGCUUCGACUACGGUUCGACGCGCGCGAAGCGAGAGACCGUUGCCGCAGGCAACGGCCCGAAGGGCGAGGCGCUUUAGCGCCGAGUAAUCCUUCCCCCACCACCA